UGUUGGUAAGGUAAUGGCUUACCAAGGCCACGAUCAGUAGCUGGUUUGAGAGAACGAUCAGCCACACUGGGACUGAGACACGGCCCAGACUCCUCCGGGAGGCAGCAGUGAGGAAUUUUCCGCAAUGGGCGAAAGCCUGACGGGGCAAUACCGCGUGAGGGAUGAAGGAUUUUGGUCUGUAAACCUCUUUUCUCAAGAAAGAAGUUCUGACGGUACUUGAGGAAUAAGCAUCGGCUAACUCCGUGCCAGCAGCCGCGGUAAUACGGGGGAUGCAAGCGUUAUCCGGAAUCAUUGGGCGUAAAGCGCCUGUAGGUUGUUUACUAAGUUUGUUGUUAAAGCCUAGGGCUCAACCCUAGAAAAGCAAUGGAUACUGGUAGACUAGAGUAUGGCAGGGGUAGAGGGAAUUUCUAGUGUAGCGGUGAAAUGCGUAGAUAUUAGAAAGAACACCAGUGGCGAAAGCGCUCUACUGGACCAUUACUGACACUCAGAGGCGAAAGCUAGGGUAGCAAAAGGGAUUAGAUACCCCUGUAGUCCUAGCCGUAAACGAUGGAUACUAGAUGUUGUGUUUAAUUCACAGUAUCGCAGCUAACGCGUUAAGUAUCCCGCCUGGGGAGUACGCUCGCAAGGGUGAAACUCAAAGGAAUUGACGGGGGCCCGCACAAGCGGUGGAGCAUGUGGUUUAAUUCGAUGCAACGCGAAGAACCUUACCAGGGCUUGACAUACUGCAAAUCUUUUUGAGAAAGAAGAGUGCCUUCGGGAAUGUAGAUACAGGUGGUGCAUGGCUGUCGUCAGCUCGUGUCGUGAGAUGUUGGGUUAAGUCCCGCAACGAGCGCAACCCUUAUCCUUUGUUGCCAGCGGUCCGGCCGGGAACUCAAAGGAGACUGCCAGUGGUAAACUGGAGGAAGGUGGGGAUGACGUCAA
rnacentral:rRNA from 1 species